rnacentral:rRNA from 1 species
UACGGAGGGGGCUAGCGUUGUUCGGAAUUACUGGGCGUAAAGCGCACGUAGGCGGCUUUGUAAGUUAGAGGUGAAAGCCCGGGGCUCAACUCGGAAUUGCCUUUAAGACUGCAUCGCUAGAAUUGUGGAGAGGUAAGUGGAAUUCCGAGUGUAGAGGUGAAAUUCGUAGAUAUUCGGAAGAACACCAGUGGCGAAGGCGACUUACUGGACACAUAUUUGACG